rnacentral:rRNA from 1 species
UACGGAGGGUGCAAGCGUUAAUCGGAAUUACUGGGCGUAAAGCGUGCGUAGGCGGCUGCUUAAGUCAGAUGUGAAAGCCCCGGGCUUAACCUGGGAACGGCAUUUGAUACUGGGCAGCUCGAGUUGAGUAGAGGAGAGGGGAAUUUCCGGUGUAGCGGUGAAAUGCGUAGAGAUCGGAAGGAACACCAGUGGCGAAGGCGCCUCUCUGGACUCAAACUGACGCUGAGGUAAGAAAGCGUGGGUAGCAAACAGG